ACAAAACGCUAGGGGCGCAUUUGCUGAGAUGAUCUUUUGAUCAACCCUUUUUACCUGAUCAGGUUAGUACCUGCGUAGGGAAGCAAUAUAAGUAAGUA
rnacentral:ncRNA from 2 species